rnacentral:rRNA from 1 species
GAUGAACGCUGGCGGCGUGCCUAACACAUGCAAGUCGAACGGAGUCGUUUUGGAAAUCUCUUCGGAGAUGGAAUUCUCGACUUAGUGGCGGACGGGUGAGUAACGCGUGAGCAAUCUGCCUUUAAGAGGGGGAUAACAGUCGGAAACGGCUGCUAAUACCGCAUAAAGCAUUAAAUUCGCAUGUUUUUGAUGCCAAAGGAGCAAUCCGCUUUUAGAUGAGCUCGCGUCUGAUUAGCUAGUUGGCGGGGUAACGGCCCACCAAGGCGACGAUCAGUAGCCGGACUGAGAGGUUGAACGGCCACAUUGGGACUGAGACACGGCCCAGACUCCUACGGGAGGCAGCAGUGGGGAAUAUUGCGCAAUGGGGGAAACCCUGACGCAGCAACGCCGCGUGAUGGAAGAAGGCCUUCGGGUUGUAAAGAUCUUUAAUCAGGGACGAAACAAAUGACGGUACCUGAAGAAUAAGCUCCGGCUAACUACGUG